UUUGAAUUUGGGAUUUGACGAAUCUAUCGUCGUCAACGGUCAAACUUUGAAGUUGUUUUAACUCGUUGUACGAGGACCGCUUACCGCAAGUAGAUUUGUUACGAUUUGUAUUAAAAUCGCGUACUUAGUGUAUGUGCAAAGUGCGGAUUCCAACAGCGGUUUAGUUGUCGAUGAUCAGAAUUUAAAUACUGUGAUAAAUUUCAAUUGACGAUGGCAGAUAAUACAAAAUUGACUGAUGAAGAGAGAGCAGAAAUCAGAGAACAAUUUUCUCAGGCAUGGAAGAUAUCGCGGCAAGUGGCAUAAUCAAAAGGGCAGCUGAUGUUACACAUACAUGAGGAUAUUCUGAGGAGAUUUCAAGACGUACUAAAUCUUUUCACGAUUAAUACAAAUAACUUUUCUCGUAACGCCCCCAUAAAUAGAAUUUGUGCCCAGUACAAAGAUUUAUGUUUGUUAAUUACUAAAGGAAUCUACUUGGUUUUACAAUAAAUUAUUGAUUGAAAAACUC